UCCUGGAAAGCAGCUCUCAAAGUUGGCGACCUCCGGUUACGUCGUGGACGCCUAGUUAGGGGAAGUGGUUUAACAUUGGGGGUUCCCUUUGGACCCGGUGGUCUGUAGAACGGUGGAGCAUCGGGGAAUUUUCCUGCCACUGCAUUAGCUUCGCACUCCUCGAUACUUAAGCCCAAGGUUUUCACUGGUGUCUCCUGCUCUUUGCUCGCUCUGACAACUGUAACAGGACACACCCUGUUCACACGUGGAGCAUAUGCAGCUCUCCGCACGACCAAUGGUCUCAAGCCCGCAUAACUUUGAUCAUCUACGGUUCUAACCAGAUGUCCAUUUCCCGAACCAAAACUAACAGUGAAUGCCAUCAACCACUACACUCACACAAUACCUGCACUGGAUUCGGAGGAACGGCGGG
rnacentral:misc_RNA from 1 species